rnacentral:rRNA from 1 species
CCUACGGGGGGCAGCAGUGAGGAAUAUUGCACAAUGGGGGAAACCCUGAUGCAGCGACGCCGCGUGAGUGAAGAAGUAUUUCGGUAUGUAAAGCUCUAUCAGCAGGGAAGAAAAUGACGGUACCUGACUAAGAAGCCCCGUCUAACUACGUGCCAGCAGCCGCGGUAAUACGUAGGGGGCAAGCGUUAUCCGGAUUUACUGGGUGUAAAGGGAGCGUAGACGGCCAGACAAGUCAGAAGUGAAAGCCCGGGGCUCAACCCUGGGACUGCUUUUGAAACUGCCGGGCUGGAGUGCAGGAGAGGUAAGCGGAAUUCCUAGUGUAGCGGUGAAAUGCGUAGAUAUUAGGAGGAACACCAGUGGCGAAGGCGGCUUACUGGACUGUAACUGACGUUGAGGCUCGAAAGCGUGGGGAGCAAACAGGAUUAGAUACCCCAGUAGUC